rnacentral:lncRNA from 1 species
GGAUUUCUGGUUGGAGAUCCUUCCCUUGUGGAGUUUUCCCUGCAAGCCUAGAUGUUCAGAGCGGAGUGCUCCAUUUUAACCAUGAAUUACAAAGGAAGAAAAACUGUCUCUCAGAGAGCCUAUUUUAAAAAGGAGUAACCUACAGGAGCCGGUCCAUUUGCAUGAGUAAGAAGGUGGAGCCAGUGAGAGAAGAGCUGUUUGCUGAUGUGAUGAAGUUAUGCCUAUGGGCUCUGGUGCUACUUAUUUCUUGUCAGAUUUCAUUAUAAUCAGCCAAGAUAAAUACUGGGACAGUGGAGCUCUAUCCAUACAAAAUCAUGUCAGUCUUGAUCUGAGACAGACUAAAUACACAUGUGUAAGCAGCAUUAUCUCCUACAACUCUUCAGUCAUCUCUGCUACCUAUACCUUAAGAAAAAUAUUACUACUUGGAUUCCCUUAGAUUGUUGAAGUGGCUCUGUUCCAGGAAAAAUAAUUCCACACCAGUGCAUGUAUGACCUGACAUAACUCCGAAAAUGUGAAAGAUGGUAUGCUAAUGAAGCAGGCUGUGUUAAUUUGAUGAAAUUAAAAAUCAAGGCAGUAAGUAGGAAGUCAAGUUUUGCAAUGUGACAAGAUACAGGAAGGGCAACUCUGCUGGCAGACAUGUAAGAAGAUGUGAAUUCAGAUGAUGGUGGAGCC